rnacentral:rRNA from 1 species
UGUUGCUGGUCCUCAAAUGGGGGCAUGUGCACGCUCUGUUUACACAUCCACUCACACCUGUGCACCUUCUGUAGUUCUAUGGGCUGGGGGACCCUGUCCUCCUUCUGUAGCUCUACGUCUUUACACACACACUGUAAUAAAGUCUUGUGGAAUGUAUGCCGCGUUUAACGCAAUACAAUACAACUUUCAGCAACGGAUCUCUUGGCUCUCGCAUCGAUGAAGAACGCAGCGAAAUGCGAUAAGUAAUGUGAAUUGCAGAAUUCAGUGAAUCAUCGAAUCUUUGAACGCACCUUGCGCCCCUUGGUUAUUCCGAAGGGCAUGCCUGUUUGAGUAUCAUGAACACCUCAACUCUUGUGGUUUCCCACAAUGAGCUUGGACCAUGGGGGUUUUUGUUGGCCUUCUGGUCAGCUCCUCUCAAAUGUAUCAGCUUACCGGUGUUUGGUGGCAUCAUGGGUGUGAUAACUAUCUACGCUCGUGGUCGUCUCCAAAUGACCUCCAGUGAUGGGGGUUCGCUGGAGCUUAUAAAUGUCUCUCCCUAGUGAAGACAGCCUUUGAACGUUCGAUCUCAAAUCAGGUAGGACUACCCGCUGAACUUAAGCAUAUCAAUAAGCGGAGGA